GAUGAACGCUGGCGGCGUGCCUAAUACAUGCAAGUCGAGCGAACAGACGAGGAGCUUGCUCCUUCUACGUUAGCGGCGGACGGGUGAGUAACACGUAGGUAACCUACCUAUAAGACUGGGAUAACUUCGGGAAACCGGAGCUAAUACCGGAUAAUAUUUCGAACCGCAUGGUUCGAUAGUGAAAGAUGGCUUUGCUAUCACUUAUAGAUGGACCUGCGCCGUAUUAGCUAGUUGGUAAGGUAACGGCUUACCAAGGCAACGAUACGUAGCCGACCUGAGAGGGUGAUCGGCCACACUGGAACUGAGACACGGUCCAGACUCCUAAGGGAGGCAGAAGGAGGGAAUCUUCCGCAAUGGGCGAAAGCCUGACGGAGCAAAGCCGCGUGAGUGAUGAAGGUCUUCGGAUCGUAAAACUCUGUUAUUAGGGAAGAACAAACGUGUAAGUAACUGUGCACGUCUUGACGGUACCUAAUCAGAAAGCCACGGCUAACUACGUG
rnacentral:rRNA from 1 species